GCCAAAUCAACCAGCCAAUGCUGACACCUCACUGUGCAGAGAGAGAUCGAGAAGCAUCUCACUUGACCAGGCACUUGCAAGUCCAUUAGCUCUCCAAAAUUCUCAGGAAUACAAUUCAUGCACCUCUGGAUAAUAGGAUGGGCAAUGUUAAGAUCACCUGAAGAGUCAAAACGCAGGACACCUUUCUGAAAGCAGACAGCUGCGGCACGUACUCAGGAGGGUGCAUAGAACUGGAAUUUCCCUUUCUCACCGUGCAACAGGGCAAGAGGCCUCAGAGUCAUGUUGGACGACUGUCCCACAUUCCGAAGCCAUUUGUAAUUCCCUACCGGACUGCCCAAUCGUAUCCUUCCUGUGGGGGGUGACUGGCAGGCGAGGUCAGAGCCGAUGACGGGCCUUGUGGACCAUGGGUUUGUCCUGUCUUCAAGGCCUGAGUCCUCAAAUGUAUGCCCAUAGCUGGAUGACACAUUACUUCUCUAUUAUUUCUGUCUGCAGAAAAUCCAGUCUUCACGGAAGGAGCAAUGGAAAAAAGACCAAGUGCUACGUCAUGUUAAUUUUUCCAGCUGUCUAAAUAAACCGUAUUGAUGAGGUGCCUCCGGCUGUCCCAUCUGGAGGUGGUGUACAGACGAACCACCAGGCAGCUACGGAAAGGCUCUCCUGUGUGUCUCGUCUUCCUGGCAUUGGUUCCAGUUCUGCAAUUACCUGGCUUGAACAGAUACGAAGAAAAGAUAUGACUCUUCUUUCUUCUCUAACCCUUACAACUCUUUACAGCACCUUGUAGCACGUACUAAGCAGUGACCGUGACCGUAUCUUCCUCCUUGCUCCAGUCUCCUCCUAAACUAGGCUCUUCCCCUGCCAAACAAGUCUGUUCUCACACCUAACUUGGGGUGACUGCUUAAAACCCCACCCUCUGACCUUGAGGAGGACGGAAGGACUCCUGGGUUCUAAGGCAGCCUUCAGCAUGAGGGUUAAACUCUGCAAAACGUUCUGCAAUCCUCCAAGUCUGAAGACUUUCCAGCUGUAAACUAAACUGAGUGGGAAUUCGUGACCCUCAGUUACCUUCUAGUGCUGUCUAUUUUAUGACUCUUAACUAAGUCAACCAUGGCCGGAAGGCCUUCUAUUUCCUUUGACGUCCCCACUUGUGGCAUGUAAAAUUAUUUUCUGAUUGUUUGGAGCGUCAACUGACAGAAUUGUGUGCUAACCUCUUAAAAUCUAAAAGUCUGGUCUGCAGUUGGACUGAGGAACAUAUUUUCCUAAAGAAAUUACAAAUAGAUGUUAUAUUCCUGGGCAACUACAUAAAAGCCUACCCACGUAAUACAGCAGAACCACAAUACUAUACUGGUAGUCGAAAGCCUAACCACCAUUUUCUGCAUGGAUGCAAUACAGAAACCUAAUCCCAGCGGGAAACUGGGUGCUUCAAGUCAUAAAAUAAAAGGUCCUCCCUGGGCCCCAGCCCCAAGGGACCUACUUGUACGUUCUACUUGCCAGAGAUGCCACGGGCAGGGAGGGAACACUGCGGCAGAGGCAGGGGCUGAGGCUGACAGACAAGAGGAAUGGUUCGGGGGACACUGGUCUGGGUCUGAGGUCACAGAAGCAGACAGAAGGGAAACUGCUCAUCUGUGACAGCAAGGCAGGUAAGGCCCUGGCUGGGGGUGAUGCUUUUAAAAGGAAAUGGUCUUAAGCCAGCAAGUCCCAGGACAGUCACCCAAAGCAGACGGAGAUGGGCCCAGGUCUCGUACUUCUUCCGGCUGGCAACAACACCGGCCCAGUGCCAAGGGGGCAUCUACCUCCUGAGCCUGAGAGAGAAGCAGGGAAGCCUGGGGGGUGGGGGGAGCGUCUUCCUCGCUCUCCGAAGUAACAGCAGCCCUGGUGCGCAGUGCGCCACAAAAUCCUGUUGUAAACAUCUUAGUCACAGUGGGGGCAGGAAGCAGCCAGCCCUAACCAGAGACUGCCUGCACGCCUCGUGGGGAAUCUGCUUUUCCAGAAGAGUAACAUAUAAGCUCUACUUCAAGUACAAAGACAUGACCUGGUAUCUGUGGCACCAACGCUUUUAGGACUUUUCUAAGGAGCCCCCAGCAACUCAAGCCUUGCACCUGCCGGGAGGCAAGGUAAAACCUGAAGGUGCGAUCCCUGGCUACACAAUGGGUGAGAAAUGCCAGGCAUCCUUGGCCACACUGCAGGCUGGAGAGCCGAAGUAACCUGCCCACCAUGGGAGGCCAUUGGGCACUUCGAUUAAUUCAUUCCACAACAGUGACUGAGUGCCACUCUUACUCACUGGCAUCUCCCUGCCCUUGAGAUUACAGUCUGUUGAAGAAGAAGAUAUAAAAAACAAGGGAAGGAGGAGAAGAAAAAAUAAGGAAAGGAUGCCCACAUGUUAGGCAUUGUGCUAGCAGUAGCCACAGGUGCAUGGAAGAAUGGCAGAGGGGGGCACACGGGGCCAAGGAGACUUCUGUUGGCCAUGGCCAGCUGAUUCAAAUGUGGGUUAACCAGGGAUGAAAGCGGCUGAGACAAGGAAGAUGUAAUGUAGGAAAGACUAUGGCAACUCUAUAUUGCUAGAACCACAAGAAAAGGCAUGGUAGGGCAAGUACCGAGACGGCCCGGGUGAGGUGGCUGAGGGCUCAAGAUUCCACUUUAAACAUGCAGGGAGGGCCCUUCCAUGACAGACAAUGCUUGCAUUCCCAAGAGAUUGUGCUGACAGCUGUUUGGGGCUCUAUCAUAAUGACUUAUUAUCUGCUGGUGUUUAUCUCCUGGGUUCUGAUCAGCCAGGCCCCAAGUCUAAAUCCUCACAGACUUCUGGAGGCAAGCCUACUGACUUGAUUACUGGGCCUGAACACAUCUGCCUACUACUUGUGUUAUUAAUUAUAUUGCAUGCCCUUCAACUUGGGGUUUUAUAUGUGUGAUAACAUGUCCUGCCACAUAAUGUAGUAACAAAAUGUGCAGGACAGUAGGAGGUGACGGAGAAGACCACACCUUUUUCUUUAGACAAUGACAUAUAUUAAUUAGGCAUAUAUAAAUACUUACAGCCUUCAGCCUUACUUGUAGAAAUCGCCAGUGAGUUUACAGAAAAAUGCUUCCUAAAAUGGCUUCAACAGACAUCUAACCACAUAGAAAUAUUUCAUACUUAAGAGCAAAUUUCCUAAAACUGGAAACACAUCUCU